CGACCGGCGCACGGGUGAGUAUCGCGUUUGUAACCUACCUUUAACUGGAGAAUAGCCCGAAGAAAUUCGGAUUAAUACUCCAUAACACUAUGAUCUGGCAUCUUUCUAUAGUUAAAGCUCCGGCGGUUAAAGAUGGACAUGCGUAACAUCAGUUUGUUGGUGAGGUAACGGCUCACCAAGACUACGAUGUUUAGGGGGUCUGAGAGGAUGGUCCCCCACACUGGUACUGAGACACGGACCAG
rnacentral:rRNA from 1 species